CCCCAGACCUCGAGCUGGAAACCACCCCAAUCUGCAUCCCACGCAGGAGGAGUGAGCCGACAACUCGGGGGAUACCUUACUCGAUGCAGCCCUUUACUGGGAGCCGGCAUCACGACAUGCGUCCUUAGGGCUCAGGAGCCAGGGAGAGGCAGACGCUCUCCUUGCUCCAUAAAAGCUAUGGAGCAGACUUGUUAAACUCCCUCUCCCUCCCCCCCAGGACCAGUGGGGAUUAUCCCAGUCCCCACUGAGGUGCUAACCCACUCACAUCUCCUGGAGCCAGCAGAGCUGUCUACUUAUAUACAGCAUACCAAGAUGGCACUUAUGUGAAGCCUGCUGCCCUUUCUGUUUCCACUCUGUGAGCCUCAAUGGAAGAACAGAUCUCCUAGGUCUUUGAGAGACUAUAGGCACAGCUCGUGCACAGGAUCCAGCAAAGUGCUGUGCGAUCAGGAGCUACACUGGUUCAGCCUGCCCUGUCCAGCUCAGACACCAAGCAGCUGCCCGCUGGGUGCAGUACGGAUGCAACACUGAAAAUGGCGAAGAGGCAGGUGCUUCGAUGGACUCUGCAGAACCGAAGGCUUGGUCCUACCUUGGACCACUAUCUAUCCAGGUCACGGUCCAACAGGGGACAGUUCCUCAAGUGUGAUUCGCACCCUUAGAAGGUCACUGCUGUUCGCAUAAGAAAGCUUCUCUGUAAUGAGCCUCAAGACAAAUUCCUGGGCAAUUUCUGCAGCAGGACUUGUGGGACUGGUGCUAUGGACUGUACUGGAAGCUGGGGCUGAUGGGGUGUGGUUGUGUGGGACUCGUGCCACUGUUGUUACCGGGGCAGUACCCACUAUAUGAGAGGAAUUAGCUGAAUCAUUUUUUAUGUUUUGUAGAGUCG